CAUUCAAUGUUCAUGCCAUCAGCAGGCGGCGGCGGCAGCAUCUGUGUCGGCGUCGGUGCUCCCUCUCUCUCGCACGAUUCGGCGUCGCUCCCUGCUCCUUGCCUCCGGCAUGCCCCUUCCCUCCAUCACCGAUGGCAGCUAUAUCCCACCAACGGUGCCACCAACCAGCGGGGACAGUAGCCCCCGGUGGCGUGCGGCUUCCCCUCGCGGAUCUGAUGGUCACGCUGCCUUCCUGACCGGCGGUGUACGGUGUCGUCCCAUCACUGGUCAUUUGCUUGUUGAUUAGCAAGGAGAUCCAGGAUUGAGGCUUCUAGAUCUUUCACCAUGACAGACCACCAUGUUCUCGUCGAAGUCUUCAGCAUGUUCUCUGAAUAAACAACUAAAAAUCUAGCAUACAUCUCAUUUUCUCGUUACUCUGUCUCCUCUACAUCUAGAUCUUGAAUUUUUUUUAUUUUUCUCGUUACUCUGUCUCCUCCCCAUCCUCGGAUACUUCCUUUUCUAGAUUGAGGUAUUACUUGAGACUUUCUGGAAUUUUUUUUGUACUACUAAAUACUUUUUUAGAUAGUAGCGGCAAUUCAUACAUUGUUCUACAUUUUUAUAAAGUAGUAUUAUAUGUUGUUCGACAUUUUCUCCUUGUAUCUGUUCACACUCUUUUGGUGCAAAUAUUAGUACGCACUACUACA